rnacentral:rRNA from 1 species
GACAGAGGUGCCGAGCGUUAGGCGGAAUCACUGGGCUUAAAGCGUGUGUAGGUGGAUGCCUAAGUACCUUGUGAAAUCCCACGGCUUAACCGUGGAACUGCUUGGUAUACUGGGUGUCUUGAGCCAGCUAGGGGCUACCGGAACAAAUGGUGGAGCGGUGAAAUGCGUAGAUAUCGUUUGGAACGCCAAUGGUGAAAACAGCUAGCUGGGGAUGUGCCGACGCUGAGACACGAAAGCCAGGGGAGCGAACGGG